GUUCGCUGCCGCAUAGGCAGCUCAGAAA
rfam:Salinisphaera hydrothermalis C41B8 contig11, whole genome shotgun sequence.